AGGUUAGUCAAACACCAGUAAAUAAUGCCUUUAAGUGAAUGUGAUUUCCUCCGUCUUACACAUUUGGCAUUAGGAACAUGCCUCAGAAUAUGGUAGCUGCUGUAAAUAUGAUGUUUUCAAUGCAGAAGACAGAUCUGCAGGAGCCAGGCUGUCUGGGCAACCUUGCUGGCUCUCCCACUCAGUAGAGAUGUGACUAUGGGCCGGUUUGUGAAGUGGAGAUAAUAAUGGAACAUCCUCCUUGGGUUGCUGCGAAUAGUAAGUGAAUUAAUGCUUGAGUAAACCUUUCAGAACAGUGUCUGCACAGAGGGGUAGAGUAGAGAUAAUCAGCUCCAAUUCUCACUUUGUGGUUUUUCAUACUGCAUUUUCAUUAGUGAUUCCUGGGGUGCACGAAAGCCACCACUUUUUGCAUGUGUGUUUUGUAUUUGAACUUUUAUGGGAUGUGUGUACCAAGUUGAGGACCAUAUUGUCGUCAAAUAUGAAUAUUGGGGGCCUGCUACCAACCGAUGGAUCGGGAAGCAUUCCGGUGUUUCAGCAACUGAAGUGUCCAUGUGUCCGCAUGCUGGCUAAGGUUGUUUCUUGUAGAUACUGUUUUUCAGGUAUCUGAAGAGUUUCUGUUGGAAAGCUAGCUAAAUAUCCUUCAAUAAUGGAGUAUAUCAUUUAAACACAGCCUGUCUGUACUAGGGAAUAUUAUGUAACCUUUACCUGAAAUGAGGCAAACAUAUCUAUACUGAUAACAAAAAUAUCUCUAAGUCAUAUGCAAAGUAAAAUUUUUUAAAAAGCAAGUCAAAACAGUACAAAGAGUAUGAUGUCAUUUAUUUUAAAAAUGACAUUUGAGCAUAAGCAACGUGUUUGGGUAAAACUGCUGAUGGUUCUUACUUCUGGGAGAGGACUGGGAAGUGGGGGUGCAAGUAAAGGAACUCUCACAUUUUCCUCUGUGUGUUUCUGUACAGACUGAACAUUUUCCAAAUGGGAAUGCAGUAGUAUUAUUUGUAUAAUAAAGAAGAAUUGAGCAUUUAAUUCAAGAAGCAAGAAAUAGAAAACUAAAAAGGGAACAAAUGAGUAAAUAUGUGAGGAUACAUUUAUGAAUUUAAAAAACUCCCAAAGAUAUGAUUAAAUAAAUGAGUAAAACAACUAGAAAACUUCUAGAAAGUCUGGCAGAGAAAAGAAAAAGAACACAAGUAAUUAACAUCUGACAGGAGGGAGGGAAUGUGUUCCAAUACAGAGGAGAGGCAACACGAGAGAAUCGCCGGGAAGAAUCAGAGGGGGUUUGCGCUACCCAGCAUUGAAGGGUGUAUUAAAAAGCUACAGUAUGGAAGUGGUUAGGAAUAGGCAAAUAGGCCAACGGAAGAGAACGAGAAGCACAGAGCACACACACUUACGUGGGUUAUUUGUGUAUAAUGAAGUCAUCCCAAAUAAAUGGGGAAUGACAGAUUUUCACUAAGAAAAGUUAGUUCUCUACCUUAUAUAAUGCAUAAAAGAAAUAUUCCAGAUGGAAUACAAAUCCACAUGUAAAACUAAAACCAUUCAAAUAUCAAAAGAUAAUGAUUUGACAGGUAAAGAGCUUGGAAGUUAUCACUGCUGUCCCCACAACAAGAAAAAAGCUCAGCAAAUGGAAAAUCAACAACUCUUCUCAGAUCCAUCAGAGAAAUGAGGUCAUGGGGCAAACUGCUAUCCUGAAAACUGGAGAGACAGGUGAAUGCAGAGAAUCAGAACUUACCUGAGAAGCCAGGAACAGAAGCUGCUGCUGGAGCCAGUACUGUCAGGACACUCACAGGCCAACUGACAAAUGUAAUUAGCACAGAAAUGAGAAGCCAGGCAUGGUGUGCACCUGUAGUCCCAGCUACUUGCGGGGCAGGGGCAGAAGGAUCUCUUGAGCCCAGGAGUCUGAGGCUGCAGUUACUAUUUUCAAUUACUAAAGCAGUUUUUUAAAAGUAUAAUCCCCACUUCUGGAAAAUGAUGGUGUAAUUGGUAUACAUUGUUUUAGGGCAGCAUUAAACUGGUUUACAUUAGUACAUGAUGACACUGAAAUACAUAUUGAUACAUAUCCAUUGUCAUAAAAAUGUUCACACCUAUUAACUAAAGAAUCUCAGUUUAGAGUAUUUUGUCUAAAGAAGAUAAACAUGUUUUAAUGUUGCAAUCGCCUGACUGUAAUUUCAGGGUUUGGGGUUCUGGGAGCAUUGGGAUGGCUUGAAGCCAGGCUGAAGUUCACAUGGGGCAGCUUUGCAGGGACUGUUCCACCCCUGCCCACGAGAGCUCCACACUCCAACUCCUUCGUUCCCCAUACGCAGUCUCUCAGG
rnacentral:lncRNA from 10 species